AGCACGGAGGCAGCAUAAAUGCAUUCACAGCUUCUGAGAUGACCAACUAUUACUUUGAUGUCAUCACUGAUUGCUUUGAAGAAGCUCUGGACCGGUUUGCACAGUUCUUCAUCAAACCAUUAAUGUCAGCUGAUGCUACCACGAGGUAAAUUAAAGCUGUUGAUUCUGAGAACCAGAAAAACUUAUUGUCUGAUGUGUGGAGAAUGAGCCAGGUUCUCAUACUAAUUUAGUGUUUGGCUGGACUUUUCACAUGGAAGCAAGUCACUUACUAACGACUAAUGUGAUUAGUUCCUCAAAGUGGUGAACUGAGCUUAUGUUGGGAAGUGUUGUCUCAUCCUUUGAUGUUGAUAGACGAGGAUGAUUGAAUUACGACGUCAUUAAGGACUGUUAAUCAAUUGCUUCUUCAGGUCCUGUUGAGGGCUUAUGGUGUGCAUGGUUAUUGUGGUUCCAUUGCUAUUUUCCUUAAUAAGCGAAAGAUAUCUGUGAUUAUUAAACACACUGGGUUGCUGUUUGUAUUUUAGCGGUUUUCGUGAAUCGCCAUGCAAUUUAGUCAUCUCAAUUGGUUGAUUUAUACCAUUAAAAUAGGUUAAUAAUUGUUAGAGUAAGCACACUUUUAGAAGCUUCCCAUCUUUGUGUUUCUUGAAAAUAAAUAAGAAU